ACGGGAGUAACGGUUUUGAUACUAAUAAACUUGGAGGCUUUCAGAGGUAGCUGGAACUUGCAGUGGAGCGGUGAAAUGCGUUGAUAUUGCAAGGAACACCAAAGGCGUAGGCAGGCUACUGGGAAAGAUCUGACGCUGAUGCACGAAAGCCAGGGGAGCGAAGAGGAUUAGAGACCCUCGUAGUCCUGGCCGUAAACGAUGAAUACUAGAUGACCGGGUUUACCUGGUUGUCGCAAGCUAACGCGUUAAGUGUUCCGCCUGGGAAGUACGGCCGCAAGGCUAAAACUCAAAGGAAUUGACGGGGACCCGCACAAGCGGUGGAGCAUGUGGUUCAAUUCGAAACAAAGCGAAAAACCUUACCAGGGUUUGACAUCCUAACUGCACGCCCCUAGAAACAGGGGUUUCUUCGAGAGUGUUAGGACAGGUGCUG
rnacentral:rRNA from 1 species